rnacentral:rRNA from 1 species
AUUGAACGCUGGCGGCAGGCCUAACACAUGCAAGUCGAGCGGCAGCGGGAAAGUAGCUUGCUACUUUUGCCGGCGAGCGGCGGACGGGUGAGUAAUGCCUGGGAAAUUGCCCAGUCGAGGGGGAUAACAGUUGGAAACGACUGCUAAUACCGCAUACGCCCUACGGGGGAAAGCAGGGGACCUUCGGGCCUUGCGCGAUUGGAUAUGCCCAGGUGGGAUUAGCUAGUUGGUGAGGUAAUGGCUCACCAAGGCGACGAUCCCUAGCUGGUCUGAAAGGAUGAUCAGCCACACUGGAACUGAGACACGGUCCAGACUCCUACGGGAGGCAGCAGUGGGGAAUAUUGCACAAUGGGGGAAACCCUGAUGCAGCCAUGCCGCGUGUGUGAAGAAGGCCUUCGGGUUGUAAAGCACUUUCAGCGAGGAGGAAAGGUCAGUAGCUAAUACCUGCUGACUGUGACGUUACUCGCAGAAGAAGCACCGGCUAACUCCGUGCCAGCAGCCGCCGUAAGAC